GAUGAAGAACGUAGCGAAGUGCGAUACGUAAUGUGAAUUGCAGAAUUCAGUGAAUCAUCGAAUCUUUGAACGCAUAUUGCGCUCUCUGGUAUUCCGGAGAGCAUGCUUGUUUGAGUAUCAGUAAACACCUCAACUUCCAUAUCUUUUUUUGAAAUGGGAGUUGGACUUGAGUGAUCCCAACGCUUUUGCUCACCGAAAAGUGGCGGGUUACUUGAAAUGCAGGUGCAGCUGGACUUUUCUCUGAGCUAUAAGCAUAUCUAUUUAGUCUGCCUAAAAAACAGAUUAUUACCUUUGCUGCAGCUAACAUAAAGGAGAUUAGUUCUUGUGCUGACUGAUGCAGGAUUCACAAAGACAGCUUCGGCCGACUUUGUAAACUCGAUCUCAAAUCAAGUAAGACUACCCGCUGAACUUAAGCAUAUCAAUAAGCGGAGGA
rnacentral:misc_RNA from 1 species